AUUGAACGCUGGCGGCAUGCCUUACACAUGCAAGUCGAACGGCAGCACGGGAGCUUGCUCCUGGUGGCGAGUGGCGAACGGGUGAGUAAUACAUCGGAACGUGCCCAGUCGUGGGGGAUAACGUAGCGAAAGCUACGCUAAUACCGCAUACGAUCUAUGGAUGAAAGCGGGGGAUCGCAAGACCUCGCGCGAUUGGAGCGGCCGAUAUCAGAUUAGGUAGUUGGUGAGGUAAAGGCUCACCAAGCCGACGAUCUGUAGCUGGUCUGAGAGGACGACCAGCCACACUGGGACUGAGACACGGCCCAGACUCCUACGGGAGGCAGCAGUGGGGAAUUUUGGACAAUGGGCGCAAGCCUGAUCCAGCAAUGCCGCGUGCAGGAUGAAGGCCUUCGGGUUGUAAACUGCUUUUGUACGGAGCGAAAAGGCUUCCACUAAUACUGGGGGCUCAUGACGGUACCGUAAGAAUAAGCACCGGCUAACUACGUGCCAGCCGCCGCAGUAACAC
rnacentral:rRNA from 1 species